CGAGCGAAUGGAUUAAGAGCUUGCUCUUAUGAAGUUAGCGGCGGACGGGUGAGUAACACGUGGGUAACCUGCCCAUAAGACUGGGAUAACUCCGGGAAACCGGGGCUAAUACCGGAUAAUAUUUUGAACCGCAUGGUUCGAAAUUGAAAGGCGGCUUCGGCUGUCACUUAUGGAUGGACCCGCGUCGCAUUAGCUAGUUGGUGAGGUAACGGCUCACCAAGGCAACGAUGCGUAGCCGACCUGAGAGGGUGAUCGGCCACACUGGGACUGAGACACGGCCCAGACUCCUACGGGAGGCAGCAGUAGGGAAUCUUCCGCAAUGGACGAAAGUCUGACGGAGCAACGCCGCGUGAGUGAUGAAGGCUUUCGGGUCGUAAAACUCUGUUGUUAGGGAAGAACAAGUGCUAGUUGAAUAAGCUGGCACCUUGGCGGUACCUAACCAGAAAGCCACGGCUAACUACGUGCCAGCAGCCGCGGUAAUACGUAGGUGGCAAGCGUUAUCCGGAAUUAUUGGGCGUAAAGCGCGCGCAGGUGGUUUCUUAAGUCUGAUGUGAAAGCCCACGGCUCAACCGUGGAGGGUCAUUGGAAACUGGGAGACUUGAGUGCAGAAGAGGAAAGUGGAAUUCCAUGUGUAGCGGUGAAAUGCGUAGAGAUAUGGAGGAACACCAGUGGCGAAGGCGACUUUCUGGUCUGUAACUGACACUGAGGCGCGAAAGCGUGGGGAGCAAAC
rnacentral:rRNA from 1 species